UUUUACUCCAAUUCAAUUGAUAGAUUGCAAGAAAUGUAAAAAACUCUCAUUAGACCAAAAACUCUUCUUCUUGAGAUACUGAUCCACUUAAACCUCAAUAAUCCUUGAUCCAUCCUUUCAAUCAAGCUCAAACUCACAAUAUAUAUUGAACACAUAUAUACCGACAAACUCUCAAAAUUUCACUUAUAGAUCUACUACUAAACUUACGAAAAUUCUCCAAAAAUUAUCAUCUACUUUAUUUUAUAAAUCUAGAGUCACCCAAAACAAUUCUUAACUUUGCAAAGCUCUUACAAAGUCAAUACACAC
rnacentral:lncRNA from 1 species